rnacentral:rRNA from 1 species
GAUAAAGACGUCAUUCGGGACCUGAGUAAAGUGGCGCACGGGUGAGUAACGCGUGGAUAAUCUGCCCUUCAGUUGGGAACAACUCAUCGAAAGGUGGGCUAAUACCGAAUAACACUGUUCGACUUUGGUCGGGCAGUCAAAGAGAGCCUCUGCUUGCAUGCCCUCGCUGAAGGAUGAGUCCGCGUACCAUUAGCUAGUUGGCAGGGUAAUGGCCUACCAAGGCGACGAUGGUUAGCUGGUCUGAGAGGAUGAUCAGCCACACUGGAACUGAGAUACGGUCCAGACUCCUACGGGAGGCAGCAGUGAGGAAUCUUGCGCAAUGGGGGAAACCCUGACGCAGCAACGCCGCGUGAGUGAGGAAGGUCUUCGGAUCGUAAAGCUCUGUCAGUUGGGAAGAAACACCUGGGGGUUAAUACCCUCCAGGCUUGACGGUACCAACAGAGGAAGCACCGGCUAACUCCGUGCCAGCAGCCGCGGUAAUACGGGGGGUGCAAGCGUUGUUCGGAAUUAUUGGGCGUAAAGAGCGUGUAGGCGGCCUGAUGUGUCAGAUGUGAAAGCCCUGGGCUUAAC